GAUGAAGAACGCAGCGAAAUGCGAUACGUAAUGUGAAUUGCAGAAUUCAGUGAAUCAUCGAAUCUUUGAACGCAUAUUGCGCUCUCUGGUAUUCCGGAGAGCAUGCUUGUUUGAGUAUCAGUAAACACCUCAACUUCCAUAUCUUUUUUGAAAUGGGAGUUGGACUUGAGUGAUCCCAACGCUUUUCCUCACCGAAAAGUGGCGGGUUACUUGAAAUGCAGGUGCAGCUGGACUUUUCUCUGAGCUAUAAGCAUAUCUAUUUAGUCUGCCUAAAAAACAGAUUAUUACCUUUGCUGCAGCUAACAUAAAGGAGAUUAGUUCUUGUGCUGACUGAUGCAGGAUUCACAGAGACAGCUUCGGCUGACUUUGUAAACUCGAUCUCAAAUCAAGUAAGACUACCCGCUGAACUUAAGCAUAUCAAUAAGCGGAGGA
rnacentral:misc_RNA from 1 species